rnacentral:rRNA from 1 species
UCUUCCACAAUGGACGCAAGACUGACGAAGCAACGCCGCGUGAGUGAUGAAGGUUUUCGGAUCGUAUAACACUGUUGUUAGGGAAGAACAAGUACCGUUCGAAUAUGGCGGUACCUUGACGGUACCUAUCCAGAAAGCCACGGCUAACUACGUGCCAGCAGCCGCGGUAAUACGUAGGUGGCAAGCGUUGUCCGGAAUUAUUGGGCGUAAAGCGCGCGCAGGCGGUUUCUUAAGUCUGAUGUGAAAGCCCCCGGCUCAACCGGGGAGGGUCAUUGGAAACUGGGGAACUUGAGUGCAGAAGAGGAGAGUGGAAUUCCACGUGUAGCGGUGAAAUGCGUAGAGAUGUGGAGGAACACCAGUGGCGAAGGCGACUCUCUGGUCUGCAACUGACGCUGAGGCGCGAAAGCGUGGGGAGCGAACAG